rfam:Gossypium hirsutum cultivar TM-1 chromosome 2, whole genome shotgun sequence
AAACCAUGAUGAGGACACAUCCUCAAAAGAUCCUUCAGUCUCUCUCAUACAUCAUAUAAUGUCUCCAAAUCAAUUUGAGCAAAAAAAGAGAUGUCAUUCCUCAACUU